rnacentral:rRNA from 1 species
CAGCAGCCGCGGGAAUACGUAGGUGGCAAGCGUUGUCCGGAAUUAUUGGGCGUAAAGAGUGCGUAGGUGGUUACCUAAGCGCAAGGUUUAAUUUAGAGGCUCAACCUCUACUUGCCUUGCGAACUGGGCUACUUGAGUGCAGGAGGGGAAAGCGGAAUUCCUAGUGUAGCGGUGAAAUGCGUAGAUAUUAGGAGGAACACCAGCGGCGAAGGCGGCUUUCUGGACUGUAACUGACACUGAGGCACGAAAGCGUGGGUAGCAAACAGGAUUAGAUACCCGGGUAGUCCCUGUCUCUUAUACC